UGAGGAAUAUUGGUCAAUGGACGAGAGUCUGAACCAGCCAAGUAGCGUGAAGGAUGAAGGUUCUAUGGAUUGUAAACUUCUUUUAUACGGGAAUAAACGGAUCCACGUGUGGAUUUUUGCAUGUACCGUAUGAAUAAGGAUCGGCUAACUCCGUGCCAGCAGCCGCGGUAAUACGGAGGAUCCGAGCGUUAUCCGGAUUUAUUGGGUUUAAAGGGAGCGUAGAUGGGUUGUUAAGUCAGUUGUGAAAGUUUGCGGCUCAACCGUAAAAUUGCAAUUGAUACUGGCAGUCUUGAGUACAGUUGAGGUAGGCGGAAUUCGUGGUGUAGCGGUGAAAUGCUUAGAUAUCACGAAGAACUCCGAUUGCGAAGGCAGCUUACUAACCUGUAACUGACAUUGAUGCUCGAAAGUGUGGGUAUCAAACAGG
rnacentral:rRNA from 2 species